GUGAGAGGCAGUUAAGAGGAAGUCAGUGUGGUCUGCAGAAAACAACUGAUGUCAGUGACAGAACAACAAAGACAGGAUGAAGGCAGACUGGAUCAUGAAGAUUCUCAUAAGUUUGGUUAUCAUGUCCGGGUUUGGGAUGCUGUCCCUGUCGGUUCCAGCUGCUGAGUUCCAGCUCGUCCACUUUGGCUCUAACAUCACUCUGGGCUGUAACGUCUCCUACCUCUAUGCCACAACGUGGCUCAAACAAAACCCAGACCUCAUUCCUACGGUGAUCCUGUACGCCAACCUCAAAGACGGACGACCGCAUGAAUCGUUUCGGCUCAGUCCUCGGCAUUCAGUGGGCCUGAUGAACCGAUCCCUGGCUCUGAGGAUCACUGGAGUGGAAGCGGGGGACCUGGGCCUGUACUACUGUAUCGGCGGCGUGAAUUCAGGGGUGAUCAUUGGAAAAGGAACAAGGAUUUACAGUUCAGCCGAGGUUCUUUUACAACAUGGCUACCUUGCAGCUGUAUGUUCUUUGUUGUUGAUUAUGAUUCUGAGUGUUUGCACCGCUUUCUGGAAAUCCAGACAGAGGAAGUAGAAGUUUCAACAAAAAGAACAACCUUUACUAGAAAAACAACAAAGGGUGUCUGAAGGACAGCAGUUUUAUCUGUUUCGAUGAAUUCAGUCUGUUUGACAUGAACUC